rnacentral:rRNA from 1 species
CCUACGGGUGGCAGCAGUGGGGAAUAUUGCGCAAUGGGCGAAAGCCUGACGCAGCGACGCCGCGUGAGGGAUGAAGGUCUUCGGAUCGUAAACCUCUGUCAGCAGGGAAGAACGGUCACUGUGCUAAUCAGCAGUGAAUUGACGGUACCUGCAAAGGAAGCAACGGCGAACUCCGUGCCAGCAGCCGCGGUAAUACGGAGGGUGCGAGCGUUAAUCGGAAUUACUGGGCGUAAAGCGCGCGUAGGCGGUAGGUCAAGUCAAGGGGGAAAUCCCCGCGCUCAACGUGGGAACUGCCUUUGAAAAUGGCAAACUGGAGUGUGUGAGAGGAUAGUGGAAUUCCAGGUGUAGGAGUGAAAUCCGUAGAUAUCUGGAGGAACAUCAGUGGCGAAGGCGACUAUCUGGCACAUAACUGACGCUGAGGAGCGAAAGCGUGGGUAGCAAACAGGAUUAGAUACCCCAGUAGUC